GCCAGAUUGGUGUAGUGGGUAACACACCUAUUGACACACAGGUUCGCCUGUGCCCUUCGGGGGCAGGAGUCCCGGGUUCGAAUCCUGGAUCUGGUC